CAGAGUUCGUGCCCUCACGGGUAGAUCUCCCACCCUGUGUUAUUAUACCUUUGUUGCUUUGGCGGGCCGCCCUCGGCUACCGGCCCCGGCUGGUACGCGCCCGCCAGAGGACCCCAAACUCGUUUGUUUAGUGAUGUCUGAGUACUAUAUAAUAGUUA
rnacentral:misc_RNA from 1 species